UAGCGUAUAUUAAAGUUGUUGCAGUUAGAACGCUCGUAGUCGGAUUUCGGGGCGGGUCGACCGGUCUGCCGAUGGGUACGCACUGGCCGACGCGUCCUUCCUUCCGGAGACCGUCUCACUCUUAACUGAGCGGAGGCGGGAGACGGAACGUUUACUUUGAAAAAAUCAGAGUGUUUCAAGCAGGCAGCUCGCUCUUGCAUGGAUUAGCAUGGGAUAAUGAAAUAGGACUUUGGUGCUAUUUUGUUGGUUUCGAACACCGAAGUAAUGAUGAGAAGGGACAGUCAGGGGCACUCGUAUUCCGCCGAGAGAGGUGAAAUUCUCAGACCAGCGGAAGACGAACCACUGCGAAAGCAUUUG
rnacentral:rRNA from 1 species